rnacentral:rRNA from 1 species
ACGGGGCUCGCACAGCGGUGAGCAUGUGGUUUAAUUCGAAGCAACGCGAAGAACCUUACCAGGUCUUGACAUCCCUGACAACCCGAGAGAUCGGGCGUUCCCCUUCGGGGGACAGGGUGACAGGUGGUGCAUGGUUGUCGUCAGCUCGUGUCGUGAGAUGUUGGGUUAAGUCCCGCAACGAGCGCAACCCUCGCCUCUAGUUGCCAGCAUUCGGUUGGGCACUCUAGAGGGACUGCCGGCGACAAGUCGGAGGAAGUGGGGAUGACGUCAAAUCAUCAUGCCCCUUAUGACUUGGGCUACACACGUGCUACAAUGGGCGGUACAAAGGGCUGCGAACCCGCGAGGGGGAGCGAAUCCCAAAAAGCCGCUCUCAGUUCGGAUCGCAGGCUGCAACUCGCCUGCGUGAAGUCGGAAUCGCUAGUAAUCGCGGAUCAGCUACGCCGCGGUGAAUACGUUCUCGGGCCUU